GACAUCAGAGGAUUCUGUGCAGCCUCAGACCCUCCUUCUGGUCCUCGCUCCAAAUCUCUGAUGUGUGUCCAUCACCCGAGUAACUGCAGAAACCAGCACUGGACAGAGAAACAGAUGGAUACGAGUGAUCUAGAAGGAGAAAUGGACAGGUUCAAUGAAGUAAGAACAUCCCUGCAGCUCCAAAAUGAACUUUUGCUUGUCCCUGACUUUGCUUCAUCCUGUGAAGAUGCCUAGACAUUCCUGCGGAGGAGAUCAGGAAGGAAGUGGAAUGCCCGGAAAGGUGCCUGCCACCAAGCUUGAUGACGUGAGUUCAAUCCCCAGGGCCCACGUUGAAAAAGGAGAGGAUGUACUCCAUCAAGUUGUUCUCUGACCUCCACACGUAGGCUACAUAGUACUCCCUCACUAUGACA